rnacentral:rRNA from 1 species
UACGUAGGGUGCGAGCGUUGUCCGGAAUUACUGGGCGUAAAGAGCUCGUAGGUGGUUUGUCGCGUUGUCCGUGAAAACUCACAGCUUAACUGUGGGCGUGCGGGCGAUACGGGCAGACUAGAGUUCGGCAGGGGAGACUGGAAUUCCUGGUGUAGCGGUGAAAUGCGCAGAUAUCAGGAGGAACACCGGUGGCGAAGGCGGGUCUCUGGGCCGAUACUGACGCUGAGGAGCGAAAGCGUGGGGAGCGAACAGG